rnacentral:sRNA from 1 species
UUUCUUGGCCCAUCAUCAGACUUGUAUCCAGUGUUCCGCUCAAUUUUCGGAUUGUAGCGUUGAAUUCUGCGAUAAUUCAAUGGCAAUGAGUUGUGUCUAACACUAUUGUGUGCAUGAUGCUACCCUAUUGACAAGUCUCAGAGUAAUCAUACUUCUUGAACCUGAGCUCGCCUCGGCUGAGCUCGGUAAAAGAUACUAUAAGGCGUCAUAUUCCACCUCUUUUCACUGAAGGCCGUCGGCUACUGAAGUUAAAGAAAAACCAUGACAUGCCUACAUAA